rnacentral:rRNA from 1 species
AACGAACGCUGGCGGCAGGCCUAACACAUGCAAGUCGAGCGCGCCUUCGGGUGAGCGGCGGACGGGUUAGUAACGCGUGGGAACGUGCCCUUCUCUACGGAAUAGCCUCUGGAAACGGAGAGUAAUACCGUAUACGCCCUUUGGGGGAAAGAUUUAUCGGAGAAGGAUCGGCCCGCGUUAGAUUAGGUAGUUGGUGGGGUAACGGCCUACCAAGCCUACGAUCUAUAGCUGGUUUUAGAGGAUGAUCAGCCACACUGGGACUGAGACACGGCCCAGACUCCUACGGGAGGCAGCAGUGGGGAAUUUUCCGCAAUGGGCGAAAGCCUGACGGAGCAACGCCGCGUGAGGGAUGAAGGCCUCUGGGCUGUAAACCUCUUUUAUCAAGGAAGAAGAUCUGACGGUACUUGAUGAAUAAGCCACGGCUAAUUCCGUG